rnacentral:rRNA from 1 species
ACGAAGGGGGCUAGCGUUGCUCGGAAUUACUGGGCGUAAAGGGAGCGUAGGCGGACAUUUAAGUCAGGGGUGAAAUCCCGGGGCUCAACCUCGGAAUUGCCUUUGAUACUGGGUGUCUUGAGUAUGAGAGAGGUGUGUGGAACUCCGAGUGUGCGAGCGAAUUUCGUAGAUCUGCGGAGGAAGACCAGAGGCGAAGGCAACACACUGGCUUAUUUCUUACGGUGAUGCUCGUGUGCGUUUGCAGCACACAG